UAACUACUCCCUCCGUCCGAAAAUACUUGUCAUCAAAAUGGAUAAAAAGAGAUGUAUCUAGAACUAAAAUACGUCUAGAUACAUCCCCUUUUAUCCAUUUUGAUGACAAGUAUUUCCGGACGGAGGGAGUACUCA
rnacentral:pre_miRNA from 1 species